GACGAACGCUGGCGGCAGGCCUAACACAUGCAAGUCGAGCGCCCCGCAAGGGGAGCGGCGGACGGGUGAGUAACGCGUGGGAACGUACCCUUUGCUACGGAAUAGCCUCGGGAAACUGGGAGUAAUACCGUAUGUGUCCUUCGGGAGAAAGAUUUAUCGGCAAGGGAUCGGCCCGCGUUGGAUUAGGUAGUUGGUGGGGUAAUGGCCUACCAAGCCGACGAUCCAUAGCUGGUUUGAGAGGAUGAUCAGCCACACUGGGACUGAGACACGGCCCAGACCCCCCCGGGGGGCAGCAGUGGGGAAUCUUAGACAAGGGGCGCAAGCCUGACCUACCCCGGCCGGGUGAGCGAUGAAGGCCUUAGGUUUGUAAAGCCCUUUCCGGGGGGAAGAAAAUGACUGUACCCCCAAAAGAAGCCCCGGCUAACUCCGU
rnacentral:rRNA from 1 species